UACUAUGGUGGGGUGGCUGCAUGUCUGGGUGAGGAGGUCACUACAGUACUAUGGUGGGGUUGCUGUAUGUCUGGGUGAGGAGGUCACUACAGUACUAUGGUGGGGUUGCUGUAUGUCUGGGUGAGGAGGUCACUACAGUACUAUGGUGGGGUGGCUGUAUGUCUGGGUGAGGAGGUCACUACAGUACUAUGGUGGGGUUGAUGUAUGUCUUGGUGAGGAGGUCACUUGGGUACUAUGGUGGGGGUGGCUGUAUGUCUGGGUGAGGAGGUCACUACAGUACUAUGGUGGGGUUGCUGUAUGUCUAGGUGAGGAGGUCACUACAGUACUAUGGUGGGGUUGCUGUAUGUCUGGGUGAGGAGGUCACUACAGUACUAUGGUGGGGUGGCUGCAUGUCUGGGUGAGGAGGUCACUACAGUACUAUGGUGGGGUUGCUGUAUGUCUAGGUGAGGAGGUCACUACAGUACUAUGGUGGGGUGGCUGCAUGUCUAGGUGAGGAGGUCACUACAGUACUAUGGUGGGGUUGCUGUAUGUCUGGGUGAGGAGGUCACUACAGUACUAUGGUGGGGUUGCUGUAUGUCUAGGUGAGGAGGUCACUACAGUACUAUGGUGGGGUGGCUGCAUGUCUGGGUGAGGAGGUCACUACAGUACUAUGGU